rnacentral:rRNA from 1 species
UACGUAGGGUGCGAGCGUUAAUCGGAAUUACUGGGCGUAAAGCGUGCGCAGGCGGUUAUUUAAGUCAGUUGUGAAAUCCCCGGGCUCAACCUGGGAAUUGCAUCUGUGACUGUAUAGCUAGAGUACGGUAGAGGGGGAUGGAAUUCCGCGUGUAGCAGUGAAAUGCGUAGAUAUGCGGAGGAACACCGAUGGCGAAGGCAAUCCCCUGGACCUGUACUGACGCUCAUGCACGAAAGCGUGGGGAGCAAACAGG